CUCUAUGACCGUACCACCCUGAACGUGCCCCAUCUCGUCUGAUCUCGGAAGCUAAGCAGGGUCGGGCCUGGUUAGUACUUAGUACUUGGAUGGGGAAUUUCAGAACGCUAGCGAUAACAGAGA
ensembl:rRNA 5S_rRNA 5S ribosomal RNA